AUGCCUUAGUACGGCGAGUGAGCGGCAAAAGCUCAAAUUUGAAAUCGGCCACCAGGUCGAGUUGUAAUUUGUAGAUUGUAUCUUGAGAGCGGAUUAAAGUCUGUUGGAACACAGCGCCUUAGAGGGUGACAGCCCCGUAAAAUCUAUUCUCAUUGUAAGAUACUUUCGAAGAGUCGAGUUGUUUGGGAAUGCAGCUCUAAGUGGGAGGUACUUAGUACGGCGAGUGAGCGGCAAAAGCUCAAAUUUGAAAUCGGCCACCAGGUCGAGUUGUAAUUUGUA
rnacentral:rRNA from 1 species